GGCGGACGGGUGAGUAACGCGUAGGAAUCUACCUAGUAGAAGGGGAUAGCCCGGGGAAACCCGGAUUAAUACCGUAUACCUCCUUCGGGAGAAAGAAGGCCUCUCUUUGAAGCUUUCGCUAUUAGAUGAGCCUGCGCAAGAUUAGCUUGUUGGUGAGGUAAAGGCUCACCAAGGCGACGAUCUUUAGCUGGUCUGAGAGGACGAUCAGCCACAUUGGGACUGAGACACGGCCCAGACUCCUACGGGAGGCAGCAGUGGGGAAUAUUGGACAAUGGGCGCAAGCCUGAUCCAGCCAUACCGCGUGUGUGAAGAAGGCCUUCGGGUUGUAAAGCACUUUAAGCAGGGAGAAAAAGUUAUAAGUUAAUACCUUAUAACCGUGAUGUUACCUGCAGAAUAAGCACCGGCUAAUUCCGUGCCAGCAGCCGCGGUAAUACGGAAGGUGCAAGCGUUAAUCGGAAUUACUGGGCGUAAAGCGCGCGUAGGUGGUUUGUUAAGUUGGAUGUGAAAGCCCUGGGCUCAACCUAGGAACUGCAUCCAAAACUAGCUCACUAGAGUACGAUAGAGGGAGGUAGAAUUCAUAGUGUAGCGGUGGAAUGCGUAGAUAUUAUGAAGAAUACCAGUGGCGAAGGCGGCCUCCUGGAUCUGUACUGACACUGAGGUGCGGAAGCGUGGGUAGCGAACAGGAUUAGAUACCCUGGUAGUCCACGCCGUAAACGAUGACAACUAGCUGUUGGAAGACAACGUCUUUCAGUGGCGC
rnacentral:rRNA from 1 species